GACAGAGGAUGCAAGCGUUAUCCGGAAUGAUUGGGCGUAAAGCGUCUGUAGGUGGCUUUUUAAGUCCGCCGUCAAAAUCCCCAGGGCUCAACCCUGGACAGGCGGUGGAAACUACCAAGCUGGAGUACGGGUAGGGGCAGAGGGAAUUUCCGGUGGAGCGGUGAAAUGCGUAGAGAUCGGAAAGAACACCAACGGCGAAAGCACUCUGCUGGGCCGACACUGACACUGAGAGACGAAAAGCUAGGGGAGCGAAUGGG
rnacentral:rRNA from 1 species